rnacentral:lncRNA from 1 species
UCCUAGGACUUUGGGAGGCCGAGAUGGGCAGAUCACGAGGCCAAGAGAUCGAGACCAUCCUGGCCAACACGGUGAAGCCCCGUGUCUACUAAAAAUACACAAAUUAACCAGGUGUGGUGGCGCGUGCCUGUAGUCUCAGCUACUCUGGAGGCUGAGGCAGGAGAAUCGCUUGAACCCAGGAGGUGGAGGUUGCAGUGAGCCAAGAUCACACCACUGCACUCCAGCCUGGUGACAGCGAGAUUCCGUCUCAAAAAAAAAAAAAAAAAACUCAUUCAUAAUCCGACCUUUACCUCCUUUACCUAAAUAUGUUCAGCUUCACCUGUCUCUCAUUCCAGCCUGUUAUUUCUCAGCUUUACUGAACUUAUAUCCAUAUUCCUCAGAGAUGAAUGAAUUUUCAUGCUUUCAUGUCUUUUUUCUUCUCACCCAGAAUGCUCCUUAUUUUCUCUCCGAGUCGUGGACUCUAUGCCUGCUCAUGUGUCAAGACGUAGCUCAACUUCCAACUUCACUAAAAUUAUCAACCUCACGGAUUGUUGGGAAGACUAAGUAAUGUGUGUGACUCUUCAGUACAGCCCCUGCCAUACAACAACCAUCCAAUAAGAUAAUGGCUGUUGUGGAUCUCAUCUGUUUCCAAACAGGGAACCUAAGAUUCAAUGAGGUUAGAAACUUGUUUACAUUCCCACAGCUGGGCUGAGAAAGCAGCUGACUGCAUGACCUGACUCUUCUUGCUGGAAACUCUUAAAUGUGUCUUCUCCUGAGGGGCUCCCCCGAGCAGUGUAAGAAUGGCCUUGUACUGGCCGUGAAACUGGGAGAACAGGUAUCUCCUCAGCCCUGUUGCUCCCUUGCCUGUAACUCUGACUUCACAAUGAGUGAUAGCAACCAAUCCGCCAUGUUGCCCCUGGCAAAUUGCCCAACUCACCAACCUCAGUUUCCUCAUCUGUUAAAGGAAGAAAUUACAUCAAUGGUGGCACCUUCUGGAGGCUACUGAGGGAUCACAUAAGAUAACAGUUAAAAUCAAUUCUUAAAGCUCUGCAAUUGUUCAAUAGUUAGCUCUUUGAAAGAAAAGAAUGUUGGAAUUUUGUAGCAGAAAGGACCUUGAGAAUCAUCUCGUGCUAGAUUUCUAGUCCCCGCUAGUGAUGUACUAGUAAUCAUGUUAAUUAUCAAAACACCUCCCAUAUGUCAAGGGCCUACUAAGAGCACUGCUAGGCAGUUUUUCAGGCAUCACUUCAUCCAUUCUUCACCACAACCAGGCUACGUAGACAAUAUCAACCACACUUUACAGAUAAGAAACCAAAAUCCUAGAGUUUAAUUGUCCAAAGUUACAAGGUUAAGAAUCUUCC